rnacentral:lncRNA from 1 species
GAACCCAGGAGGCUAAGGUUGCAGUGAGCCAAGAUCAUGCCACUGCACUCUGGCCUGGGCGACAAGAGCAAAACUCUGUCUCAAAAAAAUAAAAAUAAAAAAAUCACAUGGAAAAACUUCAAACCACUCUGGGGUAUGCUUAGAGUGUUCUCAUGAUACCAAGCGCCAGGCUCCCAUCUUCUUCAGUGUGUUCCUAUUUUUAUUAUUGACAGCUCCCAUCAAGGGACCUGCAGGAUGCCCUUUCGCCCAAUUAAAAAUCAUUUAUAAUGCACUAAUGAGGGAGGAAAGGGCUUACCAAGGCCAGGCUCCUUCGCUGAGGGACUCUAGGCAAUUAAAAACCUAAAUACUUUAGAGUUGCUAUAUCUAUCCAUGAUUUUGCUAGUAUCAAAUUAUGCUAAAGGCCAUUUUAAGUUUGCUGGAAAAUUAAAAAUGUGUUUGCAUUGAAGAAUAGUGUCUGUGUUUUAAUAUAUGGCUGUCUUAUUUUCAGCCUUUGAUUCUGUGUAUGUAGUCAUUCUUUUAUUGCAAACAAAGAGGAGGCAAUUAACGGGUUUUGUCACCUACGCACAACACAUGACGCUGUUAGAGUCACGUGAAGGUGGAGGAAGGAUUCAGUUUUGCUUUGAGGCCUCUCUGUACCUGUUUAGCAAAUGGCUUACAUGCUGUUUUGCUCUGAACUGGUGGCAAAGGGCUUUCUCUUCUGUGACAUCCAAGCUCUUACCUUUUCUGAAUUCACAUUCCUGGAAUAAAUACUUCACAUGUAAUAUAACAUAAUAAAUACUAACGAUGAUGAUGAUGAUGAUGAUGAUGAUGAUGAGCAAUAACCUUGCCUCCUUACAUAUCAAGCCCUUUCCAACACAGACCUCUGCCAGAAGAAUCAGACCUCAUUUUCUAGAAAAAUAUGUGUUCUUACUAUUCCCAUCUUACAGACGAAAAAACUGAAGCUGAGGCCGAGUGCGGUGGCUCAUGCCUGUAAUCCCAGCACUUUGGGAGGCCAAGGCAGGUGGAAUGCUUCAGCUAAGGAGUUCAAGAACAGCCUGGCCAACAAUGGUGAAACCCUGUCU